AUACGGAGGGUCCAAGCGUUACUCGGAAUCACUGGGCGUAAAGCGCGCGCAGGCGGCUAUUUAAGUUGGAUGUGAAAGCCUACGGCUCAACCGUAGAACUGCAUCCAAAACUAUUUAGCUAGAGUGUGAGAGAGGAAGAUGGAAUUAGUUGUGUAGGGGUAAAAUCCGUAGAGAUAACUAGGAAUACCAAAAGCGAAGGCAAUCUUCUGGAACACUACUGACGCUGAGGCGCGAAAGCGUGGGGAGCAAACAGAAUUAGAAACCCUAGUAGUCC
rnacentral:rRNA from 1 species